rnacentral:rRNA from 1 species
UAAGACGAAGGUGGCUAGCGUUGUUCGGAAUCACUGGGCUUAAAGCGCACGCAGGCGGCUCAUCAAGCGUUUUGUGAAAUCCCUCGGCUCAACCGAGGAAUUGCUCGGCGAACUGAUGGGCUUGAGGCAGGCAGGGGCGAGUGGAACUCUUGGUGGAGCGGUGGAAUGCGUAGAUAUCAAGAGGAACGUCGGUGGCGAAGGCGACUCGCUGGGCCUGUCCUGACGCUGAGGUGCGAAAGCUAGGGUAGCGAACGGGAUUAGAUACCCCGGUAGUCCUAGCCCUAAACGAUGUCCACUAGGUCAAUGGGUCUCUGACGGCUUGUUGGCCGUAGAAAAAUUGAUAAGUGGACCGCCUGGGGAGUACGGUCGCAAGGCUA